rnacentral:rRNA from 1 species
GAUGAACGCUGGCGGCGUGCCUAAUACAUGCAAGUCGAGCGAACGGACGAGAAGCUUGCUUCUCUGAUGUUAGCGGCGGACGGGUGAGUAACACUUGGAUAACCUACCUAUAAGACUGGGAUAACUUCGGAAAACCGGAGCUAAUACCGGAUAAUAUUUUGAACCGCAUGGUUCAAAAGUGAAAGACGGUCUUGCUGUCACUUAUAGAUGGAUCCGCGCUGCAUUAGCUAGUUGGUAAGGUAACGGCUUACCAAGGCAACGAUGCAUAGCCGACCUGAGAGGGUGAUCAGCCACACUGGAACUGAGACACGGUCCAGACUCCUACGGGAGGCAGCAGUAGGGAAUCUUCCGCAAUGGGCGAAAGCCUGACGGAGCAACGCCGCGUGAGUGAUGAAGGUCUUCGGAUCGUAAAACUCUGUUAUUAGGGAAGAACAUAUGUGUAAGUAACUGUGCACAUCUUGACGGUACCUAAUCAGAAAGCCACGGCUAACUACGUG